rnacentral:rRNA from 1 species
GAUGAACGCUGGCGGCGUGCCUAAUACAUGCAAGUCGAGCGAACAGACGAGGAGCUUGCUCCUCUGACGUUAGCGGCGGACGGGUGAGUAACACGUGGAUAACCUACCUAUAAGACUGGGAUAACUUCGGGAAACCGGAGCUAAUACCGGAUAAUAUAUUGAACCGCAUGGUUCAAUAGUGAAAGACGGUUUUGCUGUCACUUAUAGAUGGAUCCGCGCCGCAUUAGCUAGUUGGUAAGGUAACGGCUUACCAAGGCGACGAUGCGUAGCCGACCUGAGAGGGUGAUCGGCCACACUGGAACUGAGACACGGUCCAGACUCCUACGGGAGGCAGCAGUAGGGAAUCUUCCGCAAUGGGCGAAAGCCUGACGGAGCAACUCCGCGUGAGUGAUGAAGGUCUUCGGAUCGUAAAACUCUGUUAUUAGGGAAGAACAAAUGUGUAAGUAACUAUGCACGUCUUGACGGUACCUAAUCAGAAAGCCACGGCUAACUACGUG